rnacentral:rRNA from 1 species
CGUACGAUACGAGUUUGAUCAUGGCUCGGAACGAACGCUGGCGGCAGGCCUAACACAUGCAAGUCGAGCGAACCCUUCGGGGUUAGCGGCGGACGGGUGAGUAACGCGUGGGAACGUGCCCUUUGCUACGGAAUAGCCCCGGGAAACUGGGAGUAAUACCGUAUGUGCCCUUCGGGGGAAAGAUUUAUCGGCAAAGGAUCGGCCCGCGUUGGAUUAGGUAGUUGGUGGGGUAAUGGCCUACCAAGCCGACGAUCCAUAGCUGGUUUGAGAGGAUGAUCAGCCACACUGGGACUGAGACACGGCCCAGACUCCUACGGGAGGCAGCAGUGGGGAAUCUUAGACAAUGGGCGCAAGCCUGAUCUAGCCAUGCCGCGUGAUCGAUGAAGGCCUUAGGGUUGUAAAGAUCUUUUCAGUGGGGAAGAUAAUGACUGUACCCACAGAAGAAGCCCCGGCUAACUCCGUG